CUGGCACUUAAUCACAUUAGCUAUAAUUAGCAAGGUCUUUAGAUUCUCUGAUUCAUUCUACAACUUUAGUCAUUCUCAUGAAACCUUUGUGAUUUGUAUUCCCUGUCCACAAACUGUUAGUUACCUAAUGGUUUCCUUUCAAUCAAUCCUUUAAGAUUAAAAUAUUAUUCCAUAAGGAGCACUGUAACAGCCAUAAAGAAAAUUGCUUUUAAAAGAUGUCUCACCUUUCUCUAUUUUUCCUGUGUUUCUCUCUUGACCCUCUCCCUACUCUUGCAAGCAUUGACUUUAGCUGUGCUCAUGGCAUGGAAGAAUUUAAUGUUCUGCUUUUAUUAUGUUAUUUUAAGUUUUUAUGUUUUUGCGUGUUGCUAAUGUAAGCUGGCAGUCCAUCUUCAAGUUUGCUAAUGCUUUCUUUUGCCAGUUUAAAUCUACUCUUGUGCGCUUCUAGUGAAUUUUUCAUUUCAGCUGUUAUACUUUUCAAUUUAAGAAUUUCUGGCCGGGUGCGGUGGCUCAUGCCUGUAAUCCCAGCACUUUGGGAGGCCGAGGCAGGCUG
rnacentral:lncRNA from 10 species